UGAUGACGAUGAUGAUGAUGAUGAUGAUGAUGAUGAUGAUGAUGAUGAUGAUGGUGAUCGUCAUCAUCAUCAUCAUCAUCAUCAUCGUCAUCAUCG
rnacentral:pre_miRNA from 1 species